rnacentral:tRNA from 1 species
GCGCCCGUAGCUCAGGUGGAUAGAGCACAAGUUUCCUAAACUUGGGGCCGCAGGUUCGAGUCCUGCCGGGCGCA